rnacentral:lncRNA from 1 species
UAGAGACGAGGUUUCACCAUGUUGGCCAGGCUGGUCUCGAACUCCUGACCUCGUGAUUCACCCACCUCAGCCUCCCAAAGUGCUGGGAUUACAGGCGAGCCACCGUGCCUGGCCUGACUUUACGUUUUAUUCUAUUUAACACUGGUGAUAUAAAGAUUUUUAAGUAGACUUAAAUUUUAAAAAUAAGUAGAUUUAAAAUAUGAAGGCAAUAAUAUAGCUUCGUAUUUUACAAAGCUGGUUAUCAUUAAAAACUUCUUCACCUUUAGAAACUCCCUGUAGUUAACCACAGGAGACAAUAAGGUGUUUAGGAGAAGAUAAUAAUAAUAUGAGUGCCAUAAGCACAGAAUCUUAACAGUGGCCCAGCAAUUAGUACAAUUUAGGAACUACUGGUUUAGCCCAUCCCUCUCAAUAGAAAACAGAUAAGGAAACAGAGACUCAGAAUAAGGAAGAUAUUCUUUUCUAAGAUCAUACAGCUGGUUAUCAUUAAGCUCUGUUCUCCUCUGUCCCUCCUCAUCUAGGUAAUUGCAUUCGACAACAAAUUCUGCAGUGUUAAAGUGAAGGAAAUUGGAUAUAAAAUACCCAACAAUUGUGAUGUGGGCUUUCAGGAAGGUGAUGGUUCAAGAGGCUGGUGUGUACUAUAGGGGAGGCAUAGACGCAAAGACUUGUUGUAUAGCACCUUGUGCUGAAAGCCUAAACUCCUCAAUUUCUCAGGGCACCAAGAAAAAUCUUUGGGCCUGCCUCAAAGGUUGCAGUGGCAGAGAUUCCUCUGGAGUCAAGCAAAAGACGGCUCGAAUCCCAGCUUCUCAGCUUGGCAAAAAACCAUUUUCCAUGUCUCAACUCAUCUCUUUAUUCAUGCUACUCUUUACUAUUAUCAUUCCUAUAAAAUGUUAUAGGAAAAAUAAUAGCUAACAGUUAUGGAGCACUUGGUAUCUGCCAAGCACCUCUGAUGAAUUAUCUCACUUAACCCUCAAACUAACACUGGAAGGCAGUUAUUAUCGUUCCAUACGAUAGGUGAGGACAUCUGCACUCUGAAUAGUUAAUCGCUUAUCUGCAUCUAUACAACUAAGCAGGUGAUAGAAUAGGAUUCAAACCCAAGUGGCUUCAUUCCAGAGUCUGCACUUAACGCUACCGCUAUCCUGUGCGACUCAAAUGCAGAUAAGGGUUGCAAAAGCCUGGCACACUGGGGGUAAGGAAUGUCAGUGCUUUUUCCGCCAACGUGGCCGCGCGAGUCAGUUGUAACCCGGCAUCCAGAACCUUCUCCGUAGGGGCCUUGCCUGGGACUACAACUCCCAGGAUGCCGCAGGCGGAGAAGCUGGCCAAUCAGGGGGCGCGGCUUCGCCUUCACCGUCGGCUCCCUGCUCCUGUCAGAACCUCGGUGACGGUUGGCCAGUGGCUCUGAAAUGAGAGAAAUUGCAGAAAUUCUCCCUGCUCAGGAAAAGGUAGAGGCAAGGAUUGACUUAAAGAUGGGUAAGAAGCGUGUUACUGAUCAUAAGCUAAAUGUGGACAAAGUAAUUAAAAAUAUUAACACAAUUUCUUCGGAGUUGAAGAAGAUAAAAGAUUUGCAUCACAUGCUGAUGCUUACAGCAGCCACAGCUAAGGGGACUGGGACUGCCAAGACCAGUUUGGACCACUCAGAACUUACUACAGGAGCUGGGGAAAGGAACACCUCAAACAAAAUCAAGCUGUGACUCCAAGAAGAAGAGGGCAUGGCCGUUCGUUAGGCACCAAAUAAUGAGUGCCUAAUAUGCUUUUUCCAUGUGUUCUCCCUAGGACAGCAUUUCCUGGACUUUGAUCUGUGAACCCUGCUGUUUCAAGCAAUGUUAAUAGAUGGUGUACAGUAGAACAGAGUCAAUGUUCUUAUGGCCAAAUAAGUUUGGAAAGUGCUUUAUGCUACAUAUUUCACAAAUUUACAGUACAUAUUAAGAAAUCUGACUACCUUUAAUUCAUCAUUUCUCAAAACCAGCUUCAACACCACAGUGAAGAUUCUCCUUCUAAAAUGCGAAUCUGCAGAAAACCCUCAUUGGCUCACCAUUGUCCUCAGGAUAAAGUCUAAACAUCUUAGAAUGGACUAUAUGACCUGCUCAGAUCAUUCCCCUCCUUUCCCCUCUAGUCUCUUACUCUGUUCUUACUGCAUGUUCUAUGCUCCAGCUGUACUGAACUAUUUGCAUAUCUCCACAAGUGCUUUUCUGUAUCUGUUUCAACACAUACUUGUCUGUCUGAAAUCCCAUUGCUAUACCCUACCUCCAACACACCAGGUUAACUGCUAGUAGUCAAGGUCUCUUACAAUGGAAAACUUUUUUUGAGCCAGCAUGUUAUCCUUUCUGCCUUUUGCUAUCACCUGUUAUACUAUUUUAUAAUUGCAUAUUUCCUUACUUUUCUUAUCCCUGCUCAACUGUAAGCUCCUUAUGGGUAUUUCUAGUACUUAACACGGUGCCUUGAUUGAUUCGAUUCUUAAAAAAUUUUUAUUAAAUGAAUAAAUGGUUCUGGAUGCUUGAACUCAUUUAAAACAGUUAAGAAGCUUUAGAUUCCCC